rnacentral:rRNA from 1 species
UACGGAGGGUGCGAGCGUUGUCCGGAAUCACUGGGCGUAAAGGGCGCGUAGGCGGCCUGAUAAGUCGGGGGUGAAAUCCUGUGGCUUAACCGCAGGGCUGCCUUCUAAACUGUCGGGCUAGAGCACAGUAGGGGCAGGUGGAAUUCCCGGUGUAGCGGUGGAAUGCGUAGAGAUCGGGAAGAACAUCAGUGGCGAAGGCGGCCUGCUGGGCUGUUGCUGACGCUGAGGCGCGACAGCGUGGGGAGCAAACAGG